CGGGGCAUAGCGCAGUCUGGUAGCGCGCCUGCUUUGGGAGCAGGAUGUCGGGGGUUCAAAUCCCUCUGCCCCGA
rfam:Microbulbifer thermotolerans strain DAT221, complete genome.